GAUGAACGCUAGCGAUAGGCUUAACACAUGCAAGUCGAGGGGCAGCAUGGUCUUAGCUUGCUCAGACUGAUGGCGACCGGCGCACGGGUGCGUAACGCGUAUGCAACUUGCCUCACAGAGGGGGAUAACCCGUCGAAAGACGGACUAAUACCGCGUACACUUGGGAUAGGGCAUCCUGACCCAAGGAAAUGAAAUUCGCUGUGAGAUAGGCAUGCGUCCCAUUAGCUAGUUGGUGAGGUAACGGCUCACCAAGGCGACGAUGGGUAGGGGAACUGAGAGGUUGAACCCCCACACUGGUACUGAGACACGGACCAGACUCCUACGGGAGGCAGCAGUGAGGAAUAUUGGUCAAUGGGCGAGAGCCUGAACCAGCCAAGUCGCGUGAAGGAUGACUGUCUUAUGGAUUGUAAACUUCUUUUAUACGGGAAUAACAAGAGUCACGUGUGGCUCCCUGCAUGUACCGUAUGAAUAAGCAUCGGCUAACUCCGUG
rnacentral:rRNA from 1 species